rnacentral:rRNA from 1 species
GGCCUCAAUGCUAAUAGUAUUGAGGAUUGACGUUACCCACAGAAGAAGCACCGGCUAACUCUGUGCCAGCAGCCGCGGUAAUACAGAGGGUGCAAGCGUUAAUCGGAAUUACUGGGCGUAAAGGGUGCGUAGGUGGUUUUUUAAGUCAGAUGUGAAAUCCCUGGGCUCAACCUAGGAAUUGCAUUUGAUACUGAAUAACUUGAGUAUGGUAGAGGGAAGUGGAAUUUCCAGUGUAGCGGUGAAAUGCGUAGAUAUUGGAAGGAACAUCAGUGGCGAAGGCGACUUCCUGGACCAUUACUGACACUGAGGCACGAAAGCGUGGGGAGCGAACAGGAUUAGAUACCCUGGUAGUCCACGCCGUAAACGAUGAGAACUAGAUGUUAGGGGGCUUAGACCUCUUAGUAUCGCAGCAAACGCGUUAAGUUCUUCCGCCUGGGGAGUACGGCCGCAGGUUAAAACUCAAAUGAAUUGAC